GCUGCGAUAGCUCAGUUGGUAGAGCGUGAGACUCUUAAUCUCAGGAUCAUGGGUUUGAGCCCCAUGUUGAGCA